CUGAGAAAAUUAAAAUUUUGAGGUUUUCAGUGUCGGAUGAAGUUGUUUGGGACUAUUGUGUCCCUAAUGGUGGGAAGAGUGUCAUUGCUUUGAUAAUAUGGUCAGCGCCUUUCUACAGUCUGUUUGCCGCAUUGAUUGUUAAGUUGCUCUUUUCAAAUAUAUUUGGGGUCGUAGAAAAAUGCGUAUCUUACACCGUUUUGUUCAUAGGCUUGGUUGAUGAGCAGUGCACAACUCUAAACUAUGAUAUAAAUUUGAAGAAAGGUUAUUUUGAUACAAUCUUUUGAAUUCUUUUCUAUUUUCUAAUGAUUUUCUUUUGAGUAUUAUUAGGAGUGAAUAGUUGCACGUCUGAAUAAAUUAUAUUUGCUACUUGUUUUUAACUGGUAACUGAUAGAGAAUGAGGCAAAACAACUGCAAAGCUGAUAUUUCGUGAAAACUUGUACUCUGAAAGUUGCAUCUCAUAAGGCAAAACAACUACGUGAAAUUCAUUCUUGUAUCUUUUGGGUUGAUUGAAAUAGCAUGUCUUCAUUGUCUUCAUACUAAUUACGUUAUGCUCCCAACUCUUUUCUCUUUGUGUACAUGAUUUUCAAAGCUAUUGUUUCAUACAACUUCCACCUAGAAUCUUCUUCUUGUUCUUCUUACAGAGUGUGGUACCCUUUCCAAUGAAUCCACAUCUUUCAUUUUGUUUGUCUGCGGUCGUGCUUGUUAUAUGAAACUGAGCUUCUCAAAGCAUUUUUAACACAUAGAUAUCAGCAUUAGAUUUUCAUGUCCCAGAUCGUAUUUUCCGAUGCUUGGUGGAUUGGGACACAAGCCAAGAACCCUGAAGAAGCCCAACUUGAUUUCCCUAAGGAACUUACUGAGGGACAACACACAUAAUAUGACUUUAAAGGUGUUGCGGGUUCAACAUCUGCAAACAAGCAAAGUGAUCAUAAAAAUGAAACUACAUAUGUAGAAGAACAUUCCCCAAAUGUUAAGGUUGAAGAUCAGAUUAUGGAAACAAAGAUUUGAUGAGAGCAACACCUGUUCAACAUUCAGCAAGAACUGCCGGAAAACGAUUCAAGUAGUUACAUUUGUGCUGCAUUACCAUAUUUGCCUUUUUCUCACCUGUCUGAUAUACCUAUGAGUAAGAUAUUUUUUA